rnacentral:rRNA from 1 species
CCAUCAGGCUUUGCUUGGUGGUGAGAGUGGCGAACGGGUGAGUAAUGCGUGACCGACCUGCCCCAUACACCGGAAUAGCUCCUGGAAACGGGUGGUAAUGCCGGAUGCUCCGACUCCUCGCAUGGGGUGUCGGGAAAGAUUUCAUCGGUAUGGGAUGGGGUCGCGUCCUAUCAGGUAGUCGGCGGGGUAACGGCCCACCGAGCCUACGACGGGUAGCCGGCCUGAGAGGGCGACCGGCCACAUUGGGACUGAGAUACGGCCCAGACUCCUACGGGAGGCAGCAGUGGGGAAUAUUGCACAAUGGGCGCAAGCCUGAUGCAGCGACGCCGCGUGCGGGAUGACGGCCUUCGGGUUGUAAACCGCUUUUGAUCGGGAGCAAGCCUUCGGGUGAGUGUACCUUUCGAAUAAGCACCGGCUAACUACGUGCCAGCAGCCGCGGUAAUACGUAGGGUGCAAGCGUUAUCCGGAAUUAUUGGGCGUAAAGGGCUCGUAGGCGGUUCGUCGCGUCCGGUGUGAAAGUCCAUCGCUUAACGGUGGAUCUGCGCCGGGUACGGGCGGGCUGGAGUGCGGUAGGGGAGACUGGAAUUCCCGGUGUAACGGUGGAAUGUGUAGAUAUCGGGAAGAACACCAAUGGCGAAGGCAGGUCUCUGGGCCGUUACUGACGCUGAGGAGCGAAAGCGUGGGGAGCGAACAGGAUUAGAUACCCUGGUAGUCCACGCCGUAAACGGUGGAUGCUGGAUGUGGGGCCCGUUCCACGGGUUCCGUGUCGGAGCUAACGCGUUAAGCAUCCCGCCUGGGGAGUACGGCCGCAAGGCUAAAACUCAAAGAAAUUGACGGGGGCCCGCACAAGCGGCGGAGCAUGCGGAUUAAUUCGAUGCAACGCGAAGAACCUUACCUGGGCUUGACAUGUUCCCGACAGCCGUAGAGAUAUGGCCUCCCUUCGGGGCGGGUUCACAGGUGGUGCAUGGUCGUCGUCAGCUCGUGUCGUGAGAUGUUGGGUUAAGUCCCGCAACGAGCGCAACCCUCGCCCUGUGUUGCCAGCACGUCAUGGUGGGAACUCACGGGGGACCGCCGGGGUCAACUCGGAGGAAGGUGGGGAUGACGUCAGAUCAUCAUGCCCCUUACGUCCAGGGCUUCACGCAUGCUACAAUGGCCGGUACAACGGGAUGCGACACGGCGACGUGGAGCGGAUCCCUGAAAACCGGUCUCAGUUCGGAUUGGAGUCUGCAACCCGACUCCAUGAAGGCGGAGUCGCUAGUAAUCGCGGAUCAGCAACGCCGCGGUGAAUGCGUUCCCGGGCCUUGUACACACCGCCCGUCAAGUCAUGAAAGUGGGUAGCACCCGAAGCCGGUGGCCUA